UGGCCUCAAAACUCUGGACGCUGGUAAAGUCUGGUCCAAAAUCAUCAUGUUUUAAUUUCACAGUAAAUAUUCUGGGAUGUACCUGACAGGGCUAUUUCGUAAAAUCGUAAAGAUAAGAAACGAAUUAUUUUGUAAAUAACCUUCCCUAAACAAUAGAUAAUUUUACAUUCCUGAAUGGAAUUAUGGAACAUACAACUCCAUCGAUUUAAGACUCCCUUUUGAUAAAUUUGAGCGAAGCGAAUUGUAUUUACAAUAAAUAAAUGUCUAGUUAAAAUAAGGCAGAUUUAUAUUUAACAUUACAGGCAUUUCUUAUUCAAAAAUACCCUCAAUAUGCUAUAGGUAUCAUAAUUAACCCUAAUGCAAUAAAUACCUAUCUCUUCACUUGAAAUCCAAACUUAGCAGGUAGCCCAAAAACAUAUAAAUACUACAACCCCUACAAUCCGCCCUUUUAGUUGGUCAUCAUGUUUAAACGAAUACAGUUUCUAUUCAUUGCUUUUACAAUUUCGUCAUUUUCUUUUGCAAAUGUUCGUCAAAGGCGUUGUUUUCGAAAUGCAUAUACAAAAACUGUUAUCGUAACUGAUAUUGUUACAAUUUUAACGCCAUCCUCGUGUGUCCAUGUGGAACAUUCAAUUCCUGUUUGUAGAGGUGUGAGAAAUUUACAAAAAUUUCCUGAUUUCGUCAAAUACCAAACAGUAGCAAAUAUCGGACAAAGAAAUGAAGGAAAAUUAUUAUCAGGGACGUCCAGGUACAUAGGCUGGGCUGAAUAUUUUGGUUUUGUAGCCCCAACACUCACUAAAAUCUAUAGACAUCGCGAAACCACAACGGUAAUGGAUCCCCGCACUGUGGUUACCUUUUCUGUGAAAGGGUGCAGACCCACAAGGUUACCUUUGGACUUAGACAGGUGCGCUCCUGAGAUAAAAGCGACGACGACUCAAAGUGCUUUUCCUGCACUGCACACUUUACCUUCACACGGUUCCGAACAAGAACAAUCUAUAACAGAUUACAUCAAAGGAAAUAGUCAAUUUAGACACAAUGAUGUGAAAUCUCAAGACGUCUCCGAUUCCUUACAGGCCAGUUAUCCUUCAUAUGUACAAGACGAAAUUGUUACACAGCCAACAGAACCUCUUCCCCUACGUUACAACCGAGUUCCAAUGAUCUUGCAUGCAUAAAAAAUAAAUAGAUAACGAUUGUACCAAGGCAGUAACAGCUAAACCCAUUGGGAAAUGUUUGAAUGCAAAGUUUACAUUUACUUACAGUGUAGAAUCAAAGCCAUUUAAAAGGUAAUAUUCUUUUUUAUUUUAAAUCCAACAACUGACGUUUUGCCUCGGUUUUAAGCUUUAUCAAGAUAGGUUUUAAAGUUAGAAUAUUAAGUUAAUUCCUCUUGAUUAACUCACGAUACCUAGUCAAAUAAAAGUAAAUAAAAAAAAAAUCAAAGACAGUUAAAGGGUAAUAUUAUAUAUUAGUAUAAAACCGAUUACCGACAUUUCUCUUUAGGUUUAGCAUUUAUGAAGGUAGGUUUAAAGUUAGUACAUCAAGUUAAUCAAAAGGAAUUAAUUGUUUUGAUGACUUCUUAAUUUUUUAAAACGUGG